CCUACGGGUGGCAGCAGUGAGGAAUAUUGGUCAAUGGACGAAAGUCUGAACCAGCCAUGCCGCGUGCAGGAUGACGGCUCUAUGAGUUGUAAACUGCUUUUGCAUUCGGGUAAACACCCCUACGUGUGGGGGCUUGAAAGUCUAAUACGAAUCAAGAUCGGCUAACUCCGUGCCAGCAGCCGCGGUAAUACGGAGGAUCCAAGCUUUAUCCGGAUUUAUUGGGUUUAAAGGGUUCGUAGGCGGUUUGAUAGGUUCGAGGUGAAAUCCCGGUGCUCAACACCGGAACUGCCUAUAAUACUGUUGAACUAGAGAGUAGUUGCGGUAGGCGGAAUGUAUGGUGUAGCGGUGAAAUGCUUAGAGAUCAGACAGAACACCGAUUGCGAAGGCAGCUUACCAAACUAUAUCUGACGUUGAGGCACGAAAGCGUGGGUAGCAAACAGGAUUAGAUACCCGUGUAGUC
rnacentral:rRNA from 1 species